UUUUAAAUUCUCCUCAUGAAACUAAUCAGGUGGCACCUUCCCGUGUGGAAAUUUCCUUGCAAAUAUAUUACUGUACUCUACAAAUGACUUUUACCCUGUAUGCCCCUGAUAACAAUUGCAUUAAUAUAAGCUGAUAAACUCAUUUCUUUAGUUGCGGCUCAUAGAGCAGCUUGCUAGUUAAGAUAAAAAGUAAAUUAUGGGAUAUAAAAGACAUAUCUGAUUGUACAGUAAUACACUGUGUGCCAAGCAGUUGGUGAGGUAAGGUUUACAUAACCACUAGAGGUUGCUUGAACUUUUGAGAUAUAUUUCCAUGUUCUUUUUUCCUCACUGAACACAAAACAGGGGCAGAACACAGAACAAGCAAUUAAGAAAAGUGUCACUGUUUUUAUUACAGUGAUUUGAGAUUAGAAGUUGCAAGAGGGUAAACAAUCUAGAGGAAGUGUUUUGAAGUCUUCAUCGUGUAGAUGCGGUCCUUUGGGGAAACUGUCAUUCCCUUCAGUGUGGGAGGAUUCUCUUUACAUGCAGAUUUGUAGAAGGAAAUUUUGACUCCAUCCAUAUCCUACAAUAUUCUUUGGCUGCUGCUAAUUCACUUAAUGACACAGUUGGUUGCUCAGUGAAAUUGCUCUGAGCUGUCGUAGCAAUGGUGAAUGACAGCCUUUUUUGGGGGCUGAUUCAAGCCCAGCUCCAGCUGAUGGAAAGACUCCCACUGUGCAUCUAAAAUGCACAUUUUUCCAUCAGAUAGGCAGGAGGUGGCUAGCUUGGAGCUGGGCUGCCUGGCCUCCUGUCAUCAUCACAGACCUCCACCUGUGUGCCCAACACUUGCAGUCACUGGGCACAAGCCUGCAAAGAUAUUCUCUUGGAAAACAUAGAGCAAGCAGAGUGAGCCAUCCUCAAACAUAGAUAGAUAGAUAGAUAGAUAGAUAGAUAGAUAGAUCCAUUCUUCCACUUCUCUUCCUCCUUCCUAAUGCUCAGUGACAGCAUAUUCACUCAACAAAAAUAGUGGCUUCUAAAAUAAUUUCCAUCUUAAUUGUAAAGUGCAGUGGUCUUUAUUCCCAGUAGCAUCAGAGAAAAAUGGAGAUGGGGAAUUGCUCAGCUCUACCCUGUUUAUGACUACUUUUCUUUUUCUUUCAUUUAAAUGAUGUACUCAGAAAAAUUAUUUGUUUGGAGGAAAGAUUGCAGGUUACUGAUGCAGCAUUCUGAUAGAUAUUUUAGCAUACUCAGAGAAGAGAAAAUUCACUCUCACAAAUUGACAUCUUGGAUUUCUUUUUAAUUUCUUACCAAGUUCAUUGCAGACAGUUUAAGUCCCACCUCUGUCUGAACAAGUGUCUUCCUGUAUUUUUGACAAUUGACCAAUUUUCUCAUGCAUGCCAGUUUGUUCAAAGUUCUUUCUCUGUUUUCUUUCUAAUGGUUUCUGAAUUAGCAAGUCUUUGACCUUCUGAUGGUGCAGAUUGUCUGUUUGCACCAGCCUACAUAUUAUCCAGAGUAAUCCACCUGUGGUAUGAAUCUCCUCUACCUUAUCUUGUCUUGUAGCUUGAACUAGCCCUUGGCAUUCUCAGUUAUC